rnacentral:rRNA from 1 species
UACGAAGGGGGCUAGCGUUGCUCGGAAUCACUGGGCGUAAAGGGUGCGUAGGCGGGUCUUUAAGUCAGAGGUGAAAGCCUGGAGCUCAACUCCAGAACUGCCUUUGAUACUGAGGAUCUUGAGUAUGGGAGAGGUGAGUGGAACUGCGAGUGUAGAGGUGAAAUUCGUAGAUAUUCGCAAGAACACCAGUGGCGAAGGCGGCUCACUGGCCCAUAACUGACGCUGAGGCACGAAAGCGUGGGGAGCAAAC